rnacentral:rRNA from 1 species
CAACUCGCCUACAUGAAGUCGGAAUUGCUGUAAUCGCGGAUCAGCAUGCCGUUUCGGNGAAUACGUUCCCGGGCCUUGUACACACCGCCCGUCACACCAUGGGAGUCGGUAACACCCGAAGCCUGUAGUCUAACCGCAAGGGGGACGCAGUCGAAGGUGGGAUUGAUGACUGGGGUGAAGUCGUAACAAGGUAGC